rnacentral:rRNA from 1 species
GUCUUUUUGAGUUAUUUUUGAAGUCUAACCUGCCCACUGAAUAAUUUUUUAAAUGGCCGCAGUAUUUUAACUGUGCAAAGGUAGCAUAAUCAUUAGUCUUUUAAUUGAAGGCUGGAAUGAAUGGUUGGACGGAGUAUAAGCUGUUUCAUAUGAAUUUUUAAUAGAAUUUUAUAUUUUAGUUAAAAAGCUAAAAUGUGAUUAAAAGACGAGAAGACCCUAUAAAUCUUUACAUUUUGUGUUAAUUAAAUUUUUUUGAUUUGUUUUGUUUUUUUAAUUUUUAAUGUUUUGUUGGGGUGAUGUUAAAAUUUAAUAAACUUUUAAUUAAAAUUUAAAUCAUUAAUUUAUGAAUAAUUGAUCCAUUAAUAAUGAUUAUAAGAUUAAGUUACUUUAGGGAUAACAGCGUAAUUUUUUUUGAGAGUUCAUAUCGAUAAAAAAGUUUGCGACCUCGAUGUUGGAUUAAGAUAUAUUUUAGGUGUAGCUGUUUAAAUAUAAAGUCUGUUCGACUUUUAAAUUCUUACAU